rnacentral:lncRNA from 1 species
GGCAGCCUUUUUGGUGUCAUGACUACAUCAGUGUCAAGAUCCUGGCUGUGAUAUUGCACUAUAAUUUUGCAAGAUGUAACAACCUGGGGAAAUUGAGUAAAGGGUACGAUGGAUCUUCCUAUAUUAUUUCUCAGCAACUGCAAGUGAAUCUACAAUUAUCUUGAAAUGAAAAACGUUUAAACUGCCUCAAGAUCCGUGCUUCCUCUUAGGAAGUGUGUGAGUAUUUGCUCUGUUGUUCUAAAAUUCUAAAAAAUUUAUUUUUACCCAUUGUGUUGGAAACUCAUUGAGCCAUUUCAAUCAGAAAACUCAAGUCCUCCAGUUCUAAUUUGCUAGACGAGUUCCUUCUGUCUUUUCUCCUUUGUUUCUCUUUCUUACCAGACAAGCUGAACUGCCUGUCCCCACUAAUGAAUCAGAAAAAAAAUGCUUGUGAACCAAACUUUGGUUAAGCUUAUCCCCCACCCUCAGCACUCACUGGAUGAGGGGUGUUCCAGGGAUGUGAACUCUUCAGGACUUUUUUUUUUAGAGACAGGGUCUCUGUCACUCAGGCUGGAGUGCAGAGGCAAGGUCAUAGCUCACUGCAGCCUCAACCUCUCAUGCUCAAGCGAUUCUCUUGCCUCGGCCUCCCAAGUAGCUGAGACGACAGGUGGGUACCACGAUGCCUGGCUAAUUUAUUUACAUUUAUUUAUUUAUUUAUUUUUGUAGAGAUGAGGUCUCACUAUGUUGCCCAGGCUUGUCUUGAACUCCAGGGCUCAAGCGAUCUGCCUGCCUCGGCCUCCCAAAGUGCUGAGAUUACAGGUAUGAGCCACCAUGCCUGGCCUCUUCAGCACUUCUGAGCAGGACCAGCUCUUGCAGAGAUGCUGCCAACCAAAUGGACGUUGUUGGUCUUUAGCGACAGCAUGAGCCUGUACAAGCCACUGGCCUCCCUGUGCCUCUGUUUCCACAUCUGCAAAAUGGAGACACCACCUUCUGGUGUAGGAGACCGUUUUGGCCCCACGCCACCCCCUCAGCUCACCCUGCCAGGCUCAGCAGAGCACCCCCAAUGCCG